AGACCUCUUCUGGCCCCAGGCAGCGGAUCCUGGAAAAAGGAACAGGAGGAGGAAAGGGUGUGGAGGAAGCCGGGCCACAGGCUGGGGAGCAAACUUCCCCCGUCGAGAAGGAGAAAAAAAAAUAAAAUAAAAUAGAAAAAACACCUAGACAAAAAGAUCCCCGAGACAAGCCCGGCUCUUGCAACAGAUGAUUUGAGAAUGAAACUUGAUAAUCCAUUCAUGCUGCUUCAAAGAAAGAUGAGACGGCAGAUCUCGGAGGCAGAGGUGGAUGAACUGAAACUAUUAGGGACAUAAAUCACUGCUCAGCCCUGUGACACGUCCCUCUGUAGCAAUACCAUCACCAGGCUGGGCUGAACGUGUGCCAGCCUGGCCCUGAACAAGGAGCAUUUUGGGGGAGAGGGAAGCCAUCAGAUGCCCUGCUCAUGCAGGACAAAGCUGAGAAGAUUUCCGAAUCAAUCUGCAUAAACGAGGCAGUAGCCUGAUUUGGAUGGAUGGGCACUGCGGCUGCUCACUUCGCCAGGAUU